CGUACUCAUACUGAAUCAUUCUCAAGACCUACUACCUAUAACCGGAGUCCCUCUACAACUGCUAGUCAACCUACACCUAUGGAGAUAGGAGUACUUAGAGGUCCCUUAACGGCAGAAGAGCGGUUCAGGAGAAAGGCAAAGAGUUUGUGUAUGUACUGCGCAGAUCCAUCCCAUACUGUCUCAGACUGUCCCAUCCUCUCAAGGAAUAAGAAACUGGGAUCACAAAAGGAUACACACUGAAGCCAUAAUUGACUCAGGAGCUUUCGGGAACUUCAUUGAUUCUGAAAUUGUAUCCACCAAUAAAAUUCCACUUGUGUUGAAAACAAAA